rnacentral:rRNA from 1 species
UACGUAGGUGGCAAGCGUUGUCCGGAUUUACUGGGUGUAAAGGGCGUGUAGACGGGCCUGUAAGUCAGAUGUGAAAUACCGCAGCUUAACUGCGGGGCUGCAUUUGAAACUACAGGUCUUGAGUGCGGGAGAGGAAAGCGGAAUUCCUAGUGUAGCGGUGAAAUGCGUAGAUAUUAGGAGGAACACCAGUGGCGAAGGCGGCUUUCUGGACCGUAACUGACGUUGAGGCGCGAAAGCGUGGGUAGCAAAC